CCUACGGGAGGCAGCAGUGAGGAAUAUUGGUCAAUGGGCGCGAGCCUGAACCAGCCAAGUAGCGUGAAGGAUGACUGCCCUACGGGUUGUAAACUUCUUUUAUAAAGGGAUAAAGUGAGGCACGUGUGCCUUUUUGUAUGUACUUUAUGAAUAAGGAUCGGCUAACUCCGUGCCAGCAGCCGCGGUAAUACGGAGGGUCCGGGCGUUAUCCGGAUUUAUUGGGUUUAAAGGGAGCGUAGGUGGGUUGUUAAGCCAGCUGUGAAAGUUUGCGGCUCAACCGUGAAAUUGCAGUUGAUACUGGCAGUCUUGAGUGCAGGUGAGGUAGGCGGAAUUCGUGGUGUAGCGGUGAAAUGCUUAGAUAUCACGAAGAACUCCGAUUGCGAAGGCAGCUUACUAAACUGUCAUUGACAUUGAUGCUCGAAAGUGUGGGUAUCAAACAGGAUUAGAUACCCUGGUAGUC
rnacentral:rRNA from 1 species